UGCAAGUCGAACGAUGAUCCCCAGCUUGCUGGGGGGAUUAGUGGCGAACGGGUGAGUAACACGUGAGUAACCUGCCCUUGACUCUGGGAUAAGCGUUGGAAACGACGUCUAAUACCGGAUAUGACUCCUGGCCGCAUGGUCUGGGGGUGGAAAGAUUUUUUGGUCAAGGAUGGACUCGCGGCCUAUCAGGUAGUUGGUGAGGUAAUGGCUCACCAAGCCGACGACGGGUAGCCGGCCUGAGAGGGUGACCGGCCACACUGGGACUGAGACACGGCCCAGACUCCUACGGGAGGCAGCAGUGGGGAAUAUUGCACAAUGGGCGAAAGCCUGAUGCAGCAACGCCGCGUGAGGGACGACGGCCUUCGGGUUGUAAACCUCUUUUAGUAGGGAAGAAGGGAGCUUGCUCUUGACGGUACCUGCAGAAAAAGCACCGGCUAACUACGUGCCAGCAGCCGCGGUAAUACGUAGGGUGCAAGCGUUGUCCGGAAUUAUUGGGCGUAAAGAGCUCGUAGGCGGUUUGUCGCGUCUGCUGUGAAAUCUGGGGGCUCAACCCCCAGCCUGCAGUGGGUACGGGCAGACUAGAGUGCGGUAGGGGAGAUUGGAAUUCCUGGUGUAGCGGUGGAAUGCGCAGAUAUCAGGAGGAACACCGAUGGCGAAGGCAGAUCUCUGGGCCGUAACUGACGCUGAGGAGCGAAAGCAUGGGGAGCGAACAGGAUUAGAUACCCUGGUAGUCCAUGCCGUAAACGUUGGGAACUAGAUGUAGGGGCCAUUCCACGGUUUCUGUGUCGCAGCUAACGCAUUAAGUUCCCCGCCUGGGGAGUACGGCCGCAAGGCUAAAACUCAAAGGAAUUGACGGGGGCCCGCACAAGCGGCGGAGCAUGCGGAUUAAUUCGAUGCAACGCGAAGAACCUUACCAAGGCUUGACAUAUACCGGAAACGUCCAGAGAUGGUCGCCCCGCAAGGUCGGUAUACAGGUGGUGCAUGGUUGU
rnacentral:rRNA from 1 species